AAUCACUCCACAUUUGUCAUAAUUUUCGCUCACGCCGCUGUUUGUCAUACUAAGGGACCUGCUAGUGUAAAACAAAUAAACAACGAAAGUGCAUUGUGUUCGACAACUUUCAGGCCGUCUGUAGUGCGCUCUCGAGUUCAUUCCAGGGUUUUAUAUUCAUCAUCAUAAUACGCAUUAUGAGUUUUCACCCCGUUAGGUACCCAUUAGGCCUUCCAUCAAACGGCUGGCCCUGCACCUAUCCUCGGCGAAGCUAGACGUUCAGACAUAAGAUUAGCAGGGCAGCAGUGGAUCUUUGACUUCAAGUAUGGCCAUCGCCACCGCCGCGACUCCGCUCCAUUCACCCGGCCAUCGUUACCAUUUGUAGAGCGCACUGCUCGUUUUCUGACAGGAAAAGCUCGUCGACGCAUACCGUGUAUAGGGGAUCCAACAAUAAUAAUAAUAGCGAGUAGCCGAUGCAGUGAACUAUAAGCGUGGCCAGGAGCACGAGUCGUAACCCAUGGUGGGCCAUCUGAUGUCCACGAAUUACGGUGGUUGUGGUCAUCACCCCUACCAGGCCAGGCCGUUAGCGCCUCGAACACGCGGAGGAACAGGCCAACUGCGCGGACAGAUACGGUAUGAAAUCAUGACGCUACAUUUACAAGCUAUUUAUGUUGUCUCAUCGAUUGCAACGAAGAACACUAUUCUCGAACCAGCGUCGCCGAGCGUUACGAGCAAGGGAUAAACUGAGAAUUCGGUCCUCCGACGUUCAAAUAAGGAGCCUGUUUCGUGAGGUGGCUAUCCAUAAUGAGUCAGGUUGGCACUAGUCACAGAUGUCACGGGGCGCGCUAAGAAUGCCAAUGGAAGGAUGAAAAAGGGAACCAAGUCAUCCCAAGAAGGACUUCCUUUUCCUGUUGGCCGCAUUGGCCCACCCAUGCAUAAAGGCUGCUAUGCCGGUCGAAUCGGAGCCGGUGCACCCGUGUACCUCGCCGCAACACCUUAUGGCUGAGGGUGCGAAGCUUGCGAGUCAACAAAAAAGGUCUUGCAAUUGCUAGUACGCAACGAUGAUCAGUUGAGCCAGUUGCUGACAGGGGUAACCACAGCACAGGGUGGUGUAAUGUCAAAUAUCCAUGCACAGCUCCUGUCGAAACGGCUACGACGGCAAUGAGGAAAUUAACAGCAAUCCCAGUUAAAACGAAAAUUUCAUUGUUUGUAUUUGAGUUUGUAGUGUACGUGCUUUAAGGGUUUGUGUUAUCUUAAUCAGUUUUCAAUAAAGAAAAUGUUG